CGGCAAGGUCUAGGUCGUCCCUCGCGCGCACACCGAGCCGAGCACCGACACGGCGUGGAGUGUUGGCUCGUAAAUCGCGCACUUUAUCGCGGAAACGGGGCAAGCUGACGGCGAAGAGGCGCGAGGGCACGGAACGGAAGAAACUUAUGCAACCAGCGCAAACCUUUUUUGCCGAGUGGAGGAGACGGCGCGGCAAACAAGACCUUGGGAUGGUAUUCAACCCGAAGAAGCAUAUGCUCGGGAACUUUCAAUUUAAAGAAGCGAAAUACAUGCCAGAAUUUCACCUUGAGACUCUAAUGCUCCUAGGAAAAGUUCUGACGAAGAGAGGCAAAUUAGCAGAGUGCCAGCAGCAUUCAAGCUCAUAGGAGAGCAUCUUGAGAAAUUCGCACGAAAGACUGACUGACUGCUGGCGUCUGAAUGGAAAUAACAAACUGGCAGACGAGGGCUCGAAUUUAAAACCGCACAGCUGCAACGUGAAGAAGUUUUCACUGGCCGAGCAGCACAUGAGCGGGCGGGUUGUGUGGCUCGGGCAAGUAUUCUUUUCGAGCCGAUCUGCAGAUGUCUUUCUCGCCAGAAUGAACUGUUAAUUGCUGACCUUGCAAUAUAAUGGCGCACUUAAAAUACACGAAAUAAAAAGGCUCACACGGAAUGAAAUCGGCCGCGAAAAACGAGUGCAAAAAGAGCGCCGACAUGCAACGCCGGCCGGUUUUCCCAGCAUGCAGCCGACGAGAUGCAAUUUCGAUUUAGUUUUAUUUGCAUUCAAGACUCGAGCCGGACUGGAAUGCGUCCUGAUCGCGAGAAGAAGAAGUGAGAGGCGCUCGAAAGGUCAGCCCCAUGCACCUCUUCUGAUCUUCGAGCCAUUUCAGUUCAGACCCUUCCCAAAUUAUCAUUCUGCUACCUGCGCCGCGUGAUGCAACCAAAACAAUCCGGCGUCAAAUUGAAUUGAAUUGCGGUGCAUUUUGUGUUUACCAGAGAAUUGCAAGAGCUCAAAAGAAGCGAUGUGUCUCAAGUCUCAAUCAAUUAUACCGUUUGAAGUAGCAUUAGUUCCAAUUUUUAACAAAGAUAAAUUGUUAUGAAAUUCGCAUGGAUUCCAUAAAGAAGAAAAAGGUUUAAAUUAUCAUUAGGUUUAAUUUGAUUUUAUCAAGAUUUAGUAUUGAUUUAAUUAAAGAGUAACAUUAGAAUUUUUAGAUAAUAGAAAAAAUAGUGUACU